UACGUAGGGUGCGAGCGUUAAUCGGAAUUACUGGGCGUAAAGUGUGCGCAGGCGGCCGCGCAAGUCGGGUGUGAAAGCCCCGGGCUUAACUUGGGAAUUGCGCUCGAAACUACGUGGCUAGAGUGUGGCAGAGGGAGGUGGAAUUCCACGUGUAGCGGUGAAAUGCGUAGAGAUGUGGAGGAACACCGAUGGCGAAGGCAGCCUCCUGGGCCAACACUGACGCUCAUGCACGAAAGCGUGGGGAGCAAACAGG
rnacentral:rRNA from 1 species